GAUGAACGCUGGCGGCGUGCCUAAUACAUGCAAGUCGAGCGAACAGACGAGGAGCUUGCUCCUCUGACGUUAGCGGCGGACGGGUGAGUAACACGUGGAUAACCUACCUAUAAGACUGGGAUAACUUCGGGAAACCGGAGCUAAUACCGGAUAAUAUAUUGAACCGCAUGGUUCAAUAGUGAAAGACGGUUUUGCUGUCACUUAUAGAUGGAUCCGCGCCGCAUUAGCUAGUUGGUAAGGUAACGGCUUACCAAGGCAACGAUGCGUAGCCGACCUGAGAGGGGGAUCGGCCACACUGGAACGGAGACACGGUCCAGACUCCUACGGGAGGCAGCAGUAGGGAAUCUUCCGCAAUGGGCGAAAGCCUGACGGAGCAACGCCGCGUGAGUGAUGAAGGUCUUCGGAUCGUAAAACUCUGUUAUUAGGGAAGAACAAAUGUGUAAGUAACUAUGCACGUCUUGACGGUACCUAAUCAGAAAGCCACGGCUAACUACGUG
rnacentral:rRNA from 1 species